UUGGCUGGCAGUUAAUUUGCAUAUCGCCCUGAUUAGCCAAUGGGAAGGGUAGCGGUCAAACGCUAAUUACCAUGUUUCUCUUUUAUUAUAUAGGAUAAGAAAGUGGUCCAAUUUCAUAUUUUCCAUUUAUCUGUAUAGUUUUGUCAGCACCAAAACUGUCUUUACUCAAUUGUAUAUCCUUGCCUUCUUUGUCAUAGAUUAAUUGACCUUAGAAGCAAGGAAUUUUUUCUGUAUUCUCUAUUCUAUUCCAUGAAUCUGUAUCUUUCUUUUUUUAUGCCAGUAUUUUACUGUUUUGAUUAUUAUAGCUUUGUAGUAUAGUUUGAUAUUGGAGAGCGUAAUACCUCCUACUUUGUUCUUUCUCAAGAUUUCUUUGGCUAUUAAGAAAUUGUUCCAUAUAAAUUUUAGGAUUAGUUCUAAUGCUGAGAAGAAUGCCAUUGGUAUUUUGAUAGGGAUUGCAUAGGAUCUGUAUAUUACUUUAGGUAGCAAGGACAUUUUAACAAUAUUAAUUCUUUCAGUCUAUGAGCAAGGUAUAUCCUUCCAUUUAUUUGUAUUGUUCAGUUACUUUCUUUGGUGUCUUACAGUUUUCAGAGUACAGGUCUUUCACCUCUUUGGGUAAAUUUAAUCCUAGAUAUUGGGGGUUAAAGGGAGACAUAUGUAAUACUUUCAACAAUAAAUAUUUUUUAAAAAUUAUUCCUAGGUAUUUAAUACUUUUAUUUUAAUUUAUUGAUGUUUAGAGAGUGAGAAGGAGACAGAAACAGAGGCGUGGCUGUUGUUGUUGUUCUGCUGAUCUCUGCAUUCACUGCUUGCUGCUGCCAAAAACCAAAAGCGAUUCAGGGAUCCAUCAACAGGAAAAUGGAUAAAACGAACAAAAAGGCAUAUUUCUGCAAUGAAAUACUACACAGUUGAGAAAAAAUUAUAUGCAACAUUGAUGAAUAUCUAAAACAUGGUAAGUGAGGUAAGUUAUUGGAAGAUAUAUAUUCUUUUAAAAAAUGUUUUAAUUUUUAUUAUUUUGAUUGGACAGUAAAAUUAGUGCCCUGCUGUGAGGAAAAAAUUAGCACUUCCUCCUAACCUCCCGCACCCCCCAUUUGUUAGUGUUUUAGGCUGUUUCCUACAUAAGGGAUGGUUCUUUUCUGGCUUCAUUAAGAUAAAAAACUUCUCUCCAAAGACACUAUCAAGAGAAAGAAAAGAGGCAGAGACUGGGAAAAAAUAAUUGCAAAACGCGUAUCUGAUGAAGGACUUGUAUCCAAAAUGUUCAAAGAACUCAAAACUCAUUAAAAAAUAGGCAAAGGGUCCCAAGAAUGCCUCACCAGAGAAGAUACGCAGAUGGCAGAUAGCACAUGAAAAGGUGCUCAGUAUCCCAUGUCACCAGGGGACUGCAAAGUAAAACCGUGAGACACCACUGCUGGCUGUCAGCGGCUAAAGCUCAACACUGCAGCUCCCGGGGCGGAGGGAGGGGCCGCGGGACUCAUUUCAGACGGUGCGGCCCCUUCGGAGGACAGCCGGGCGGUUUCUUAAAAGCUGAGCAUCCUGCACCGCGACCCGGCAGCCACGCUCCUUGGUAGUCACCCCAGCGAGUUGAAAGCAUGUCCACACACAAACCUGCACACGGAUGUUUAGAGAAGCUUUACUCACAGUUGCCAAGACCUGGAGGCAACAAAGGUUUCCAUAUUUUUUAUCAGAAGAAUCUAAGAAAGACACAAGAUGGCGCUAUAACUCCAAGAAAGCACAGGAAUGUAUGUAUGUGAGACACACCUCCUCUCUCUCUCUCUCUCUCUCUCUCUCUCUCUCUCUCUCUCUCUCUCUCUCUCUCUCUCUCUCUCUCUCUCUCUCUCUCUCACACACACACACACACACACACACACACACACACACACACUCAUCCCAGGUUCACCUGACAGCACUCAGCCUUUCAAGACAAUUCAUUGUUCUCACUACCUCCUUCUUGUUGUUUUUUGUUGUUGUUAAUAAAAGUCAACAUGGUAACUGGUU